rnacentral:lncRNA from 11 species
CUGAUAUCAAAAGUUAUCCUGACAGAGAAUAAAAUGUUUAGGAAGAGAAGAGAGUCUAUUGGAAGAAUGAUUCUUUUCUUCUUUGAUAAUCGUGAGCAUCCUUUGUAAUGGGAGCAGAUGGGAUAUAUCAGAG